rnacentral:piRNA from 1 species
UCCUAAAUAGGUAACGGCACAAUGGAGAAC